ACACGACUACAUUAGAUACCCCCUGUAGUCCCAGCCCUAAACGAUGCGCGUUAGGUGUAUCGGUGACCACGAGUCACCGAGGUGCCGAAGGGAAACCGUGAAACGUGCCGCCUGGGAAGUACGGUCGCAAGGCUGAAACUUAAAGGAAUUGGCGGGGAGCACCACAACGGGUGGAGCCUGCGGUUUAAUUGGACUCAACGCCGGGAAGCUCACCGGAUAAGACAGCGGAAUGAUUGCCGGGCUGAAGACCCUGCAUGACCAGCUG
rnacentral:rRNA from 1 species